rnacentral:lncRNA from 1 species
ACUGUGGAAGAUUUUACUGAUCAGUUUUUGUCUGUGUUCAGUUUUUCUGCAUAAUAUGAUGAUCUUAGUGAUGACUUUUCUCGCUCUGUGUGUGUGUUCUGGUCAGGUCUCCUGUUUGGGACAACACUGGUGUCAGUGUGACGUUCCACAUUCCCAGCACAGAUAUCAAAGGUGUGGUCAAUGUAUGUGUUCUCCUCCCAGAUGGUAGUUGCCACGGCGAAGCUAACAUCACAUACUUGUCAUCACCAUCCUGUACAAACGCUACUCCAAGCAGCAGCUGGAUAAGUGGGAACAGGAAGAUCACAGUCAGAGGGUCCCACCUGAAGUUUGUUGAAGGCAUUGUACACAGCCAUGCCAUGCAGGAAGUCGCACUUCCUAAAAACAGCAGCUAUCAGAGUCUCACCUAUGACUCACCUUCAGCUGAAAACAGUCCUGGGAUUUCUAGCAGCACUGUGUUUUUGAAAGUAGCUAAUCAAACCUUGGCCUGCUCCACAAACAUGUCCUACUAUCCAGACCCUGAGUUUAUCAGCUUCACAGCCACAAGAACAGGAAACAGUGUUUGCAUCACUAUACGGAAAAAGGCAGACAAACUGGAGAUGACAACAACAGAAUUAUCAGUGUGGGGCGUUCAAGACAGUAAGGAAUACUGCUGCAUCAUGGAAACAAACAAAACCAGUGAUGAGACUCACUCUUUCACUUGUGAGGUUAAAAACCCACCCGACGUGGAAUUUCAGCUGUUGUUGAUAAAGUAUGGUAACAGGACCGUAAGCCUCAGUAAGCCUCGGCCUUCAUCACAUCUUCUAUUGCUGCUUUUGCUGUUGAUACCCUGUGUUAUUGCUGUGCUGGUGUUUAUGUAUCUGUGGAGGAAGAGACGUGCCACAGAAAUAACAUUUAAAGUUUCUUUCCGGUCUCUGCUGGCUGACUGACAAUCUUCACGGAGUUGCUGUACUAAAAGUUGAUUUUUCCAGUUGUUAUAUAAUUUUUUGUAUUUUCAUAUAUUUUUCAUUAGUCAUAUAAACAUAAAACUAAUUAAGGCUUUUCUUGAAAUGUUGAAUUAUUUUGUUCAAGCAGUAUCCCAUUAAAGAUUUUUCUGAUAUCUACUUUUGUGAUAGUUCUCUGACUAAACCAAUUGUUGGGAUUGUAUAUUUAAGACAUUAUAAUGUCAUGUUAUAUUUAACAUUUCCUAGAUUUCUUACAUUGUAUGUUAAACCUUUUGCAUGUUUAGAACAAUAAGAGUCAUUGUAAUAGAUAGUAUGCUACUUCUCUUUCUCUUAAGUGAAAGUGACAUAUGUACUUUUUGGCUCUAAAGCCAUAUAAAGCAUUUCUACAUGCUAUCUAUCUAUUUGGAGAUUGAUGGAGUACUGGAUUGGGCUCCUUUUUGGCCUCAGAACUGCUUUAAUUCUUCAUGAUACAGAUUAAACAAGAUGCUGGAA